UGCGAACUUAACCGCUGCGCCACCAGGCCGUCCUGAAUCUGGAGCUUCUUAAGGGCACAGACUGUGGUUCUGCAUCCAACCAUCCAGGCCUCCCUCUGGCGCCCUGCGCAUCCUUGGGGGGAUUGAUGAUCACUCUCUGGUACUAAUGAAUUGGAUGGGGGCAGCCACGUGCAGAAGAGAAGGACAGGAAGAAUGUCAGGAAGCAGGAAAAGCAUGAGACAAUGAAGAGGGAAGAGGAUUAAGAGGCAGAGAAGGAGAAGUGAAAUGGAAGUGGAGGAAGCUGGGCCUGGAAGAGAAGGGGAUAAGUCCAUGAAGAGUAUUAAAAGGAUGCAGUCAUUCAGUCAGUCAACAAACGUUUAUUGUGCACCUACUAUAUAUUAAGCAACGUGCUGGAAGUGAAAGGCGCAGUGGUGCAUGAGACAAACAUGGGGCUUUUCGAGUUGCAGAAUGUGUAGCUUCGUAAAUUAGAAAUGGUGAGAAAGUGACAACUUAAAGAGGCUGAAAGCAGCUGGAAACAAGGGAAAUAUCGAGAGAGAGAGAACCUGCCCCCAGACACACCCGGGGAAGAGAUGUCUCCCUGGUUGAUGUUGAGACACAGCUGGAACCACCUGUCCCCACUGGCUCCACAGACCGAGGCAGGUAGGGUGGGUAGGGGAGAAAUUCAGGAAGGGGAGGGACCGGAGUGGGUGGGGGUGGAGUUUUCCUUGGGUACCCCCAGUGGGAAGACACCUCUGGGCUAGUGAGUGGUUCUCAACAUUUGGCUGCUUAUGGGAAUCACCUGAGAAAAUUCUUAAUCCCGUCACCGGGGUCCCAUCCCCUGAGAUUCUGAUUUCCUUGGCCUGGGAUGGGACCCAGACUCCAGAAUUUAUUGAAAGCUCUCUGGUGAGGCUAGAGUGCAGUCAGGGAGAAAGCGGGCAUCCGAGGCGGGCUGCCCGGCCUCUUUCCUCUCUGUUGAGGACGGGGUCAUCUUGAAGGAAGAGAUCUGUGGAAGAGAUGUUGUGAGGCGGUCUGGUGGAGUUGUAAACGACAAAAGCAUAAGGAGGUCCCCUCCUUAGAAAGUGCCCCCUUCCUUGGCGGUGCUGAGAGAGGAGCAAGACAGCCUGGAAAUAAAGAAAAAACAGGAAAAC
rnacentral:lncRNA from 1 species